GAUAGGGUGGUAAGCAUUUGUUUUUGUAGUUUAUGACGCAUUAUGUGUAUUUUAAUUUGAUUUAGGUACAUAAUCUAGAAUUUUUUUGCAGGAAAAUGCAGUGAAAUAAUGUGCUGAUGCUAUCUCAUGAGUUUGGUAGAGUGGUAGGUAAGAAGUCUGGAAGAGCAGCUCUUUGAACUUAAGGGGUAACAAACUACUCCUGUGGGUCAAAUCCAGCCUUCUACCUGUUUUUGCAAAUAAAAUUUUAUUCCAACACAAGCAUGCUUAGUUGUUUACAUGUUGCCUAUGGUUGCUUUUGCACUACCAAAUGGCAGAAUUGAGUAAUUAUGACAGAGACUGGCAUGUUUGAGUAUUUAUGGUUACAAAGCCUAAGAUAAUUAUUGGCCCUGUAGGGAAAAAAUCUGCAUGCAGCUCCUGUUCUAGAUUUGGGGAGAAGGAAUGCUGUGUGAAGAAGAAGCUGUUUUUUGGGGCUCCUGAGUGGCUCAGUCAGUGGUUAUGCUUCCGACUUCAGCUCAGGUCAUGAUCUCACACCUGGUGAAUUCAAGCCCUGUGUUGGGCUCUGUGCUGACAGCUCAGAGCCAGCCUGGACCCUGCUUUGGAUUCUGUCUCCCUCUCUCUCUGCCCUUCGCCCACUCGCAAUUCUGUCUCUCUC